rnacentral:tRNA from 1 species
GAUAUAUAAAUCUAUUGAACUUCUAAUUCAAUUUAAAUGAUACAUAAAUUUCAUAUAUAUCU